ACACUCCUGCGGGAGGCAGCAGUGGGGAAUAUUGCACAAUGGGCGCAAGCCUGAUGCAGCGACGCCGCGUGGGGGAUGAAGGCCUUCGGGUUGUAAACUCCUUUCGCUAGGGACGAAGCUUUUUUGUGACGGUACCUAGAUAAGAAGCACCGGCUAACUACGUGCCAGCAGCCGCGGUAAUACGUAGGGUGCGAGCGUUGUCCGGAAUUACUGGGCGUAAAGGGCUCGUAGGUGGUUUGUCGCGUCGUCUGUGAAAUUCUGGGGCUUAACUCCGGGCGUGCAGGCGAUACGGGCAUAACUUGAGUGCUGUAGGGGUAACUGGAAUUCCUGGUGUAGCGGUGAAAUGCGCAGAUAUCAGGAGGAACACCGAUGGCGAAGGCAGGUUACUGGGCAGUUACUGACGCUGAGGAGCGAAAGCAUGGGUAGCGAACAGGAUUAGAAACCCUGGUAGUCCCAUGA
rnacentral:rRNA from 1 species